AUGCCUUGCUUGGCGCACGACCGCCACCCCAGGCCCCCGGCCACUAACCACUGCAAGUCCCUCUCCUGCCUCAUCAGGGAGACGUACGCGCACUGCCAUGUCCCCUGCAUCGGGAUCGCCGGCGCCGGGUGGAGCUCCGGCGACGACAGCGACGACGACGACGAUGACAUGCUCGAUACCAAACAGGUGAUACUCAACGAGAUUAGGAACCGGCAGCUGAGGAAGGAGUCGAGGUGCAGCGCGGACUCGCCGGCUCUGUCCAGCGCCUUCAUCUGGUUCUUCACCCCGCUCGAUCCGAGGAGCGUUCUGGAGAAGGUCUCGAGCCCUGAGAAGUGCAUCGUGGCGGGGGAGGAGAAGGAAGAGGCGGAGGGGGAGGCGGGCAGCGACGCCGGCGACGUGGAGAGCGAGGCGUACUUCUCGGUGAAGAGCUUCUUCACGCGCAGCACGAGCCGGGCGGCGACCGUGGCGUCGCUGACGGACAUGGACCCGCCGGCGACGUGGGAUGGCUUCCGGGACUGCGAGGGGUGGCCGUUCGGGCUGUGCCGCCGCCCCGCCGUGCCGCCGCUGCCCAGCACACCGGCCGACUCGUGGAAAUGGCGCAAGCAGAGCAGCGGCCGCAGCCUCGCCGCGAGCCCGCGUCCUGCUCACAGUGACAAGAUCACAACGAGUUGA
rnacentral:rRNA from 1 species